AGUGAACGCUGGCGGUAGGCCUAACACAUGCAAGUCGAACGGCAGCACAGUAAGAGCUUGCUCUUACGGGUGGCGAGUGGCGGACGGGUGAGGAAUACAUCCGAAUCUACUUUUUCGUGGGGGAUAACGUAGGGAAACUUACGCUAAUACCGCAUACGACCUACGGGUGAAAGCAGGGGAUCUUCGGACCUUGCGCGAUUGAAUGAGCCGAUGUCGGAUUAGCUAGUUGGCGGGGUAAAGGCCCACCAAGGCGACGAUCCGUAGCUGGUCUGAGAGGAUGAUCAGCCACAUGGGAGCUGAGACACGGUCCAGACUACUACGGGAGGCAGCAGAGGGGAAUAUUGGACAAUGGGCGCAAGCCUGAUCCAGCCAUACCGCGUGGGUGAAGAAGGCGUUCGGGUUGUAAAGACCUUUUGUUGGGAAAGAAAAGCAGCAGGUUAAUACCCCGCUGUUCUGACGGUACCCAAUGAAUAAGCACCGGCUAACUUCGUG
rnacentral:rRNA from 1 species